rnacentral:rRNA from 1 species
UGGGGAAUUUUGGACAAUGGGGGAAACCCUGAUCCAGCCAUCCCGCGUGUGCGAUGAAGGCCUUCGGGUUGUAAAGCACUUUUGGCAGGAAAGAAACGUCGCGGGUUAAUACCCCGCGAAACUGACGGUACCUGCAGAAUAAGCACCGGCUAACUACGUGCCAGCAGCCGCGGUAAUACGUAGGGUGCAAGCGUUAAUCGGAAUUACUGGGCGUAAAGCGUGCGCAGGCGGUUCGGAAAGAAAGAUGUGAAAUCCCAGAGCUUAACUUUGGAACUGCAUUUUUAACUACCGGGCUAGAGUGUGUCAGAGGGAGGUGGAAUUCCGCGUGUAGCAGUGAAAUGCGUAGAUAUGCGGAGGAACACCGAUGGCGAAGGCAGCCUCCUGGGAUAACACUGACGCUCAUGCACGAAAGCGUGGGGAGCAAACAGGAUUAGAUACCCUGGUAGUCCACGCCCUAAACGAUGUCAACUAGUUGUUGGGGAUUCAUUUCCUUAGUAACGUAGCUAACGCGUGAAGUUGACCGCCUGGGGAGUACGGUCGCAAGAUUAAAACUCAAAGGAAUUGACGGGGUCAUAGCUG